rnacentral:lncRNA from 1 species
CUCUGCUGACACGUCCUGCCGGGGCUUUCCUUUGGGUUCUUCUCACAUCUGGGUCAGUCCUGUAUGGGGCUCGCAGCCGGUACGGAGGAGGCUUCUUGGCAGCGGUGGGCUGCCGGCUUCCAGCUCUCACCUCGCAGGUGGGGCAGGCAGCCGCAGGGCCGUCUCUGGUGGCCGCAGGCAGCUCCAGCUCCCCGGUAUCCCCGCCGUCAGCCGCCCCGCCCGCAGGCUUUGCUCCCGGAGCUCCCCGUGCCGCUGCGGGCGCUCCGGAGACGCUUUCCCUGACUCUCAGCGCUUUCUCCAGGGCGGCGUUCAGCAGCUCCAGCUCCUCCAGUUCCCGGGAUGAAGGAGUGCUCUCGCGUCCACCGCCGGGUCCCACCUCCGCUUUCGGCCGCUCAUCUCCGCGCCGCUCCCCCCGCAGCACAUCCCGGCCGCGCUCCGCACUCCGUUCCAACUCCCUCCGCCGCUCCGCGCCGCCGCGCAGUGCCGCCUGCAGCGCCGCCGCCAACCGCCCGCCGCAGCCCGCAGGCAGCAUUCCGCCUCCCGCCGACCACCCGCGCUCCUUCCGGCACUGCCCGGCACGGCGGCGGCCGCUGGGGGCUCCGGGGGCGGUACCGACUGCGGCCCGCCCCGCUGCGCUGCCCGCCGGGAUAGCAGCGGCGGGAGGGGAAAGAAACGCGAGUAAGGACGGGGAGACUGUGCCCGUGUUGUGCCGAGCCCUUAUCAGCCGUUGGACUUACCGAUAGGAGCCGGGACCACCGCCACGCCGGGCAGAAUUAGCCUAAACUGCGACAGAGUGGCGUCAAGGCAUUCCGCUUCGUGUUCUGUAUCUGUGUGCGCUGAGAGCUCUCCGGCUGUCCUCGCGUUCUGCAGCGAUCUUAGGGACAAAAGGGGUGAUUUUAAAAGAUAAAGGCUGUUGGAGGAGGUCAGAGACCCCCCCCCUCCCCCAUCCAAAGCACCGACAGCGGACCGACACUGCGCUAGAAGGACGCCAGGUGACAUCAAAGACCGCUAAACGAGGCUGUAUGUGCCGGGCAGUCCCUGGGAGUGGAAAGGAUAACGAUUUGGAGAGUGCAAUGGAUAUGUAAUACAUGUGCAAACGUGACCUGUUCGCAAACAGUGAAGUGGGGAAAAGUUUUUGGAGGGUUAACCCCAUGCAACCCAGCACUGCCGGUCAGAAUACCUGCCACGUGGUAACAGCACUUCUGCUGUGAGGUCUCUGCACGUCCAUUUCUUCGAUUCAAGAUGCAGGUGUUACUGCGUCGGCUUCUGCUCUGGAGGGCUGAGCCUUCAGCUCUGUCUGCGUGGUGCAGUGGUUGGAGCUGAUGGAUUGUCUGGUUUUCCCAUCGCUUCCCCGUCGCUUUACCCGCAGAGGGCUGCAUGUGGAGCUUUGCCUUCAGUGGGGAGUUCACACGUGGCUGCCCCACGCAGUGCCGCUCUGAUGCUGGCUCGUAGGGGUGGCACCACGGCUUAUCACCGGUAACAAUGCGAUCCGUGUCACCAUCAGCCUUUAUCAGUCCAGUGGCGCUGACAGACGUCACGCGGUGUUCUUUGUGCUGCUGUAGGAGCGUUGGUGGGACCCACCUGGCGCAGACUUUGCGACCUUCCAGCACUGCCACCAUUGUUUCCGAUGCGUGUUCUGCUCAGUCCUGGUCACGAUGCGCUCAUUCUCGCAGAUGAGGCGCUCCUCAUUUUGUGCUGUGGCAGCUGUGCACGGCCAUCCGGAACGUGCCUUGUCCUCACCGCUGCUGAAACGCACCACAGACUGCACCAGAUGGGCUGCCCUUUCUCCUGAUGAGGUUUGACACCAGUCCUGGCUGCGGGGCAGAGUGGGACCACCACUGAGGGGCCCUCCUCCUCCAGCACAGCGCCGUGCUGCAAGCUGUGGGAGAACAACCAGCUCUUGUUAGGCACCUGCAGGCUGUUGACAUUUAAGCAAUUACAACCAUCCAUAAGGAGGAUCAGACUGCUGUGCUGUAGGGAGACCUGAUCUGAUCUGAGCAGCUUCUGCAUUGCAUCUCCGUGUCUGGGAGCACUGCAGCAGGCGGCCCCCGUGGCACCAGAGUGGUCCAAAUGAACCCAGCGCACAACUGCCCCACAACACAGCUGGAUGCUGCGCGCCUCCCACGGCCAAGGAAGCCCUCGAGGUUGGUCUGCACCCUGCUGGGAAGAAGGACUGGGGACCCUUUGUGUGUCACCAGUGCCACGGGCCGUCCCUUGCCCGGAGUCGGUCAGAGCUGGGUGGCACCGCAGCCCCACAGCAGUGGGAGGUGGGAAGGCAGCAGCGUGAUGCUGGGUGAGCCGUGGAGCCACACCGUGCUGCAAGGGCUGGGUGAGGUGAUAAUUAGCAGGUGGAGAGCAGGAGCUUUCUGAGAGAUGAAAGCUCUCUGCUGGUACCUGUAGCUCCAAAGCUGCCCAUGGCAGAGCCCUGCUGCCCUCGGAGCGUGCCCCUGUGCUGCUCUGAGCCUUCUGCGGAGCCCUGCAGCCGGGCAGCUGCUGCACAAACACAGAUGGACCUUCCCCAGUGGGCGCUGCCUUUCCAGUGGCUCAUCUGACACAAUCCAAGGUAUCUGUCUCUGAUAUUUUUUCACUGAUAGCCGUUCCUGAUAGGAGGGGUAACGAGCAACAGGUGACAUUCUGUUCAUCCAGCAGUGUGUCGUGGUCCGGUGCUGACCUGACCUACUGGCACAGCAGGCACACAGCACAUUCAUGCCUGGUCUGAGCGAUGGUGUUUUUAACUAACAGAGCAUAAGCUGGCAUUCUACUUCAUCUUAUUGCUUGCUGGGGUAGUACCGGGCCCUGUGACAUAGCACACAAGCUAAAUGGCAUUUAAACUGACGCUAAGUACCACUUAAAGAUUUAUUUACAACAGGCAAGUGGGUUAAAAUACCUGUGUAAUGGAGAAAUGGCAGUUGCUCAUAGGCACUGCUCUGCCAGCCGUCAUGGAGGCUGCUCCGAAAGUAAUGCCUCCUAUUUUGUUACAUUGGCCCACAGUGUCAGAGGCGGAUGGUGGUGGGAUGGCAGCAGAGGCUGAACAUUCCCACCAACAUUCUGUUACAUUUUGUUGGUGUGUGACAGACAGCAGCAAUGGGACACUCUGACAGAGCUGUGUGGCAUGGAGCAAAGGUGUAGGAUUGAAUUCUUUCAUGCAGAAAACAUGGCACCUAUUGGUGUUCAUCAGUGCUUGUGAGUGCUGAUGGAGGCCAAACAGUGGCUGUCAGCACAGCGAGGUGGUGGGUGGUGCAUCUCAGCAAUGGUGACAGAGAUGUGAAAGACAUCAACGUUACAGACGGCCAUGCAGAUCUGUACGAGUGCAGCGUGCAGAUUCUUGGUUUAUAGCUGGUGAAAAAUAGUAUUUGGUAGCUGAGAAUUGGCUCUGUCAAAUGGUGUCAUUGUGCUCUGUUUAUCAGCUGUAGUUUCCAUGAAAAUAAACAGGAGGCGUUACUUUUGGAGCAAACUAUGUAUUUUCAGGACCUGCAAUGAUGAUGUAUUUUGCAUAGGUGAAAUGUAGAGGUACAGUGUCAGCAUUCGUUGCUUAGGUUGACAGGUGCCUGGUGAUAUCCCGUGAUCUGCC